ensembl:lncRNA
AUGGAUACGCUCUUUUCAAUAAGCCCGCCUGAACACUUCGACUUCGGUGAUUUUGGCAGCUGGCCAAAUUGGAUUAGACGGUACGAGAGAUUCCGUUUGGCGGCGGGGAUCGGUGAAAGAAGCCAAGAAUAUCAAGUAAAUUCGCUUAUCUACACAAUGGGAGAUAAAGCUGAUGAUAUCUUGUGCACACUACCUCUGUCUGAAGAAGACAAGAAGACAUAUGAUAGAGUUAAAGACGCGUUUGAGAAACACUUCGUAUGUCAGCACAACGUUAUUUAUGAAAGAGCUAAAUUCAACAAGAGGUGCCAAGAACCGGGAGAGUCAGCUGAAACGUUCAUUACUGCAGUUCAUAAACUAGCAGAAAACUGCCAGUAUGGAGUCCUUCAAGAGGAAAUGAUAAGAGAUAGGCUGGUAGUUGGAAUAAGAGAUCAUGCACUGUCAGAGAGAUUACAGUUAGAUCCCGAGCUCACACUUAACAAAGCAGUCACAAAGAUAAGACAAAAUGAAGAAAUAAAAAAGCAGCAGACGAUUUUAAGACAAACAAGCGGUGACUCAAAGGAGGUAAAUAUGGACAUGCUAAAAUGGAAAAUAAAACCAAAAUAUGCACAAAAAGGGCCACAAAGGCGACCAGACGGGGCAAAAUAUAAUGAAGCCAGCAAGGGAUGCGGCAGAUGUGGUAAGCCACAAGCACACUCACUGAACAGCUGUCCAGCAAGGGAUGCAGAGUGUAGGAAGUGCAAGAAAAAAGGGCACUUUGCAGCAGUCUGCAAAACAAAGAAAAGGCUGGAUGAAAUAUAUCAUCGUGAAGAGACAGAUAGCAUAGAGACUGUGUUCCUGGGAGUUGUUACGUCUGAAAAUUCAACUGUUUGGCAAAAGUCCAUUGCAGUGAACGGCGAACAGAUUCUUUUUAAACUGGACACAGGAGCAGCAGUGACAGCCAUACCAGAUAGCAUGUACUCAGAGAGGAAACAUGGUGCUCUCAGCCAGGCGAGGAAAAAGCUAUGUGGUCCAAGCAACAUGUCAAUACAAGUGAGAGGACAGUUUGAAGCAAUACUUACUCACAAAGAAAAAGUGAUAAAACACCCAGUGUUUGUGAUACCAAAACUGGUGUCCCCUCUCCUUGGACUACCUGCCAUUAAAGAGCUGAAUUUAAUUCACACCGUAGAUGCUAUUCAAACAUCUGACACAGACUACAAAAAAAGCUGUUCCCAAAAAGUCUUCACAGGACUUGGAAAAACUUCAAGGAGCCUACAAAAUUAA